rnacentral:rRNA from 1 species
GAUGAACGCUGGCGGCGUGCCUAAUACAUGCAAGUCGAGCGAACGGACGAGAAGCUUGCUUUUCCGAUGUUAGCGGCGGACGGGUGAGUAACACGUGGAUAACCUACCUAUAAGACUGGGAUAACUUCGGGAAACCGGAGCUAAUACCGGAUAAUAUUUUGAACCGCAUGGUUCAAAAGUGAAAGACGGUCUUGCUGUCACUUAUAGAUGGAUCCGCGCUGCAUUAGCUAGUUGGUAAGGUAACGGCUUACCAAGGCAACGAUGCAUAGCCGACCUGAGAGGGUGAUCGGCCACACUGGAACUGAGACACGGUCCAGACUCUACGGGAGGCAGCAGUAGGGAAUCUUCCGCAAUGGGCGAAAGCCUGACGGAGCAACGCCGCGUGAGUGAUGAAGGUCUUCGGAUCGUAAAACUCUGUUAUUAGGGAAGAACAUAUGUGUAAGUAACUGUGCACAUCUUGACGGUACCUAAUCAGAAAGCCACGGCUAACUACGUG